rnacentral:rRNA from 1 species
UCGAGGAUCUUCGGCAAUGGGCGCAAGCCUGACCGAGCGACGCCGCGUGUGCGAUGAAGGCCUUCGGGUUGUAAAGCACUGUCGAGGGGGAGGAAAGCCGCAAGGCCUGACCUAUCCCUGGAGGAAGGACGGGCUAAGUUCGUGCCAGCAGCCGCGGUAAGACGAACCGUCCUAACGUUGUUCGGAAUCACUGGGCUUAAAGGGCGCGUAGGCGGGCAUUCAAGUCCGGGGUGAAAGCCCCCAGCUUAACUGGGGAAGGGCCUUGGAAACUGGAUGCCUCGAGGGAGGUAGGGGCCUGUGGAACUUCGGGUGGAGCGGUGAAAUGCGUUGAUAUCCGAAGGAACGCCGGUGGCGAAAGCGACGGGCUGGACCUCUUCUGACGCUGAGGCGCGAAAGCCAGGGGAGCAAACGGGAUUAGAUACCCCCGUAGUCC